rnacentral:snoRNA from 1 species
UUUUCAUGAUGAGAAAAAUUUAUUUUCAGUUCUGCUUCUGCAAAUUUUUUGAAGAUAACCAAAUACCUUACCAAAAACUCCUGAUAC